CCUACGGGAGGCAGCAGUGGGGAAUUUUGGACAAUGGACGCAAGUCUGAUCCAGCCAUGCCGCGUGCGGGAAGAAGGCCUUCGGGUUGUAAACCGCUUUUGUCAGGGAAGAAAAGGUUCUGGUUAAUACCUGGGACUCAUGACGGUACCUGAAGAAUAAGCACCGGCUAACUACGUGCCAGCAGCCGCGGUAAUACGUAGGGUGCAAGCGUUAAUCGGAAUUACUGGGCGUAAAGCGUGCGCAGGCGGUUAUGCAAGACAGAGGUGAAAUCCCCGGGCUCAACCUGGGAACUGCCUUUGUGACUGCAUAGCUAGAGUACGGUAGAGGGGGAUGGAAUUCCGCGUGUAGCAGUGAAAUGCGUAGAUAUGCGGAGGAACACCGAUGGCGAAGGCAAUCCCCUGGACCUGUACUGACGCUCAUGCACGAAAGCGUGGGGAGCAAACAGGAUUAGAUACCCUGGUAGUCCACGCCCUAAACGAUGUCAACUGGUUGUUGGGAGGGUUUCUUCUCAGUAACGUAGCUAACGCGUGAAGUUGACCGCCUGGGGNGGCGGCGCGAAGGUGUAACGUUACGAAGAAGUUAGAGGNGNGNGNGNGCCGACGGCGACGACGAGGGAGGAGG
rnacentral:rRNA from 1 species